GACAGAGGGUGCAAACGUUGUUCGGAAUUACUGGGCGUAAAGCGCGUGUAGGCAGCCCCGCAAGUCGGAUGUGAAAGCCCUGGGCUCAACCUAGGAAGUGCAUUCGAUACUGCGGGGCUUGAGUCCUGGAGAGGAAGGCGGAAUUCUCGGUGUAGAGGUGAAAUUCGUAGAUAUCGAGAGGAACACCGGUGGCGAAGGCGGCCUUCUGGACAGUGACUGACGCUGAGACGCGAAAGCGUGGGGAGCAAACAGG
rnacentral:rRNA from 1 species